rnacentral:rRNA from 1 species
UGGGCGCAAGCCUGAUCCAGCAAUGCCGCGUGCAGGAUGAAGGCCUUCGGGUUGUAAACUGCUUUUGUACGGAACGAAAAGCCCUGGGUUAAUACCCUGGGGUCAUGACGGUACCGUAAGAAUAAGCACCGGCUAACUACGUGCCAGCAGCCGCGGUAAUACGUAGGGUGCGAGCGUUAAUCGGAAUUACUGGGCGUAAAGCGUGCGCAGGCGGUUUUGUAAGACAGAGGUGAAAUCCCCGGGCUCAACCUGGGAACUGCCUUUGUGACUGCAAGGCUAGAGUACGGCAGAGGGGGAUGGAAUUCCGCGUGUAGCAGUGAAAUGCGUAGAUAUGCGGAGGAACACCGAUGGCGAAGGCAAUCCCCUGGGCCUGUACUGACGCUCAUGCACGAAAGCGUGGGGAGCAAACAGGAUUAGAUACCCUGGUAGUCCACGCCCUAAACGAUGUCAACUGGUUGUUGGGUCUUAACUGACUCAGUAACGAAGCUAACGCGUGAAGUUGACCGCCUGGGGAGUACGGC